AAGAUUAAGCCAUGCAUGUCUAAGUAUAAGCACUUUAUACUGUGAAACUGCGAAUGGCUCAUUAAAUCAGUUAUCGUUUAUUUGAUAGUACCUUACUACAUGGAUACCUGUGGUAAUUCUAGAGCUAAUACAUGCUGAAAACCUCGACUUCGGAAGGGGUGUAUUUAUUAGAUAAAAACCAAUGCCCUUCGGGGCUCCUUGGUGAAUCAUAAUAACUUAACGAAUCGCAU
rnacentral:rRNA from 1 species